GUUUUUUCUGCCUUCGUUAUUGACACAGUUUCCUGUUUAGAAAUUUCAACAUUUUUGAAAUAUUUUCAAAAAAAAAAAAAAAUUAAGCUGCUAAUCUUUGAAAGUCAGACCAUAAAUUUUCGACCGCAACAACAACUAACUGGCAGGUGUUAUUUCCUAUUGCAACAGCCAACUGUCAUGCGGUAUACGGUUGUUGUUGUUCCUGCUGUUUUUUUUUCUUUUUCUAAAUUUAAAUGCGGACAAAUCGUUUCAAUUAUUCACAGAAGUCAUUGAGAAGAUGUUAUUUCAAUUAUUUUUAUGUGGAAAUAAUUAAUUCUAUGAAAUACCCCACUCCCCUCCUAACACCUCUCAUCCAGCCACGGCUAGUUCUGCCACCAAUCAAAAUUAACAUAAAUAAUUUGAAUUUUGCAACAAAGAAAACAAAUAACAAGACAUUUAUUCAAUACUGAAAUGAA